rnacentral:rRNA from 1 species
UAGCCUACGGGAGGCAGCAGUGAGGAAUAUUGGUCAAUGGACGAAAGUCUGAACCAGCCAUGCCGCGUGCAGGAAGACGGCCCUAUGAGUUGUAAACUGCUUUUGUACAAGGGUAAACCUGAAUACGUGUAUUCAGCUGAAAGUACUGUACGAAUAAGGAUCGGCUAACUCCGUGCCAGCAGCCGCGGUAGUACGGAGGAUCCAAGCGUUAUCCGGGUUUAUUGGGUUUAAAGGGUGCGUAGGCGGAUUGAUAAGUUAGAGGUGAAAUGUCCGGGCUCAACUCGGGAACUGCCUCUAAUACUGUU